rnacentral:rRNA from 1 species
AUAGCGUAUAUUAAAGUUGUUGCAGUUAAAAAGCUCGUAGUUGAAUUUUGGGCUUGGUAGGCUGGUCUGCCUUCUGGCAUGUACUGGUUUCGCUGGGUCUUUCCUUCUGGCUACCCGCAUGCCCUUCAUUGGGUGUGUUGGGGAACCAGGACUUUUACUUUGAAAAAAUUAGAGUGUUCAAAGCAGGCAUUAGCUCGAAUACAUUAGCAUGGAAUAAUAGAAUAGGACGUGUGGUUCUAUUUUGUUGGUUUCUAGGACCAUCGUAAUGAUUAAUAGGGAUAGUCGGGGGCAUCAGUAUUCAAUCGUCAGAGGUGAAAUUCUUGGAUCGAUUGAAGACUAACUACUG